GACCGGAUUUUAAAAUUCUAUGCACAGACAUUUACUCUUUCACCAUUACAUAUGACCAAGGAGAUUUAUACAAGCUUAGCUAAAUAUUUGAAGUUAUACUUUCUUUCUAGAGAAAAUCAGAUUCCUACUCUUUCAACUGGUAUAGAUAUAAGUAAUCCUAAUGUGAUCUGCUUACUUAAAAAGGUUCGUCUUCUAAAUGAAUAUCAGAAAGAGGCUCCAUCUUUCUGGAUUCGUCACCCAGAAAAGUAAGUCCUCUAAUUUAUACCAAUAUAAAAUAUAGAGGUUAUGCCAAUAUAAAAUAUAGGGGUGUUACUGUCCCAUGUACA